rnacentral:rRNA from 1 species
UGGCGACCGGCGCGACGGGUGAGUAACACGUACUACCACCGCCGAUAACUCGGGGAUAGCCUUUCGAAAGAAAGAUUAAUAUCCGAUAGCAUAUCAAUCCCGCAUGAGAUUGAUAUUAAAGAAUUUCGGUUAUCGAUGGGGAUGCGUUCCAUUAGUUUGUUGGCGGGGUAACGGCCCACCAAGACUACGAUGGAUAGGGGUUCUGAGAGGAAGGUCCCCCACAUUGGAACUGAGACACGGUCCAA